GGAUGUGAGGGCGAUCUGGCUGUGGCAUCUGUCACCGCACUGAUUGCCAGGGUUGACUCAGCUGAGCUGGCUGGCUAAGCGGGUAUCCCCUUCCUCCCUCACCCCUCCACGUUUGUCCCUCACAAAGCUGCGUGCUUGGCUUGGUCGAAGAGGACAACCACCUCCCAUAGAGGAGGACAGUUUCCUUGGUCAAGGGUAUAUGAGUAGCUGCACUCCCUUGCUAGAACCUCCAAACAAGCUCUCAAGGAAAAAGAAACACAAACAAAAGUACAAGAUCAAUGACAGCAGACUUCCUAGUGUUUGCUAAAUAUU
ensembl:misc_RNA 7SK 7SK RNA